GAUGAACGCUGGCGGCGUGCCUAACACAUGCAAGUCGAGCGAGAAGUAAAGAAAUGAAGCUUCGGUAGAUUUUCAUUAUGGAAAGCGGCGGACGGGUGAGUAACGGUAGGCAACCUGCCCUGUACAGGGGGAUAGCCACCCGAAAAGGUGAUUAAUACCCCAUGAUGCAAGAGAUACACAUGUAUCACUUGUCAAAGAUUUAUCGGUAUGGGAUGGGCCUGCGUCUGAUUAGCUAGUUGGUAGGGUAACGGCUUACCAAGGCAACGAUCAGUAGCCGACCUGAGAGGGUGAUCGGCCACAUUGGAACUGAGACACGGUCCAAACUCCUACGGGAGGCAGCAGUGGGGAAUAUUGCACAAUGGGCGAAAGCCUGAUGCAGCAACGCCGCGUGAAGGAAGAAAGGCCCUUUCGGGGUUGUAAAACUUUUUGUUCCUAGGGGAACGAAAACAAAA
rnacentral:rRNA from 1 species